rnacentral:rRNA from 1 species
UACGGGGGGAGCAAGCGUUGUUCGGAUUUACUGGGCGUAAAGGGCGCGUAGGCGGCGUGACAAGUCACUUGUGAAAUCUCCGGGCUUAACUCGGAACGGUCAAGUGAUACUGUCGUGCUAGAGUACAGAAGGGCAACUGGAAUUCCUGGUGUAGCGGUGGAAUGCGCAGACUAUCAGGAAGAACACCCGUGGCGAAGGCGGCUCUCUGGGACGGUACUGACGCUGAGACGCGAAGCGUGGGAGCGAACAGG